rnacentral:rRNA from 1 species
GAUGAACGCUGGCGGCGUGCCUAAUACAUGCAAGUCGAGCGAACAGACGAGGAGCUUGCUCCUCUGACGUUAGCGGCGGACGGGUGAGUAACACGUGGAUAACCUACCUAUAAGACUGGGAUAACUUCGGGAAACCGGGGCUAAUACCGGAUAAUAUAUUGAACCGCAUGGUUCAAUAGUGAAAGAGGGUUUUGCUGUCACUUAUAGAUGGAUCCGCGCCGCAUUAGCUAGUUGGUAAGGUAACGGCUUACCAAGGCAACGAUGCGUAGCCGACCUGAGAGGGUGAUCGGCCACACUGGAACUGAGACACGGUCCAGACUCCUACGGGAGGCAGCAGUAGGGAAUCUUCCGCAAUGGGCGAAAGCCUGACGGAGCAACGCCGCGUGAGUGAUGAAGGUCUUCGGAUCGUAAAACUCUGUUAUUAGGGAAGAACAAAUGUGUAAGUAACUAUGCACGUCUUGACGGUACCUAAUCAGAAAGCCACGGCUAACUACGUG